rnacentral:rRNA from 1 species
GAUGAACGCUGACAGAAUGCUUAACACAUGCAAGUCUACUUGAAUUUGGGUUUUUUAACUUAGAUUUGGGUGGCGGACGGGUGAGUAACGCGUAAAGAACUUGCCUCACAGUUAGGGACAACAUUUGGAAACGAAUGCUAAUACCUGAUAUUAUGAAUAUAUGGCAUCAUAUAAUUAUGAAAGCUAUAAGCGCUGUGAGAGAGCUUUGCGUCCCAUUAGCUAGUUGGAGAGGUAACGGCUCACCAAGGCGAUGAUGGGUAGCCGGCCUGAGAGGGUGAACGGCCACAAGGGGACUGAGGCACGGCCCUUACUCCUACGGGAGGCAGCAGUGGGGAAUAUUGGACAAUGGACCAAGAGUCUGAUCCAGCAAUUCUGUGUGCACGAUGACGUUUUUCGGAAUGUAAAGUGCUUUCAGUUGGGAAGAAAAAAAUGACGGUACCAACAGAAGAAGUGACGGCUAAAUACGUG